AAUGCAGCUUCCAGGAGAACCAGCUCCAAAGUACUUAGGCCACACUCAGAGGAAGGGGAGGUUUGGGAAGAAAGCAGCAAGGAACCCUAGUGAAGGCCCUAGAGCCAAAGAGCCCAAGGAUGGGUCUUCUGAGGAGAAGAAUUGAAAGGUAAAUCACUCGCAGCCACGGAAACUCCGAGGGGCAACGUCCAGUCUCAUUCGGAGGAUGGAAAGUAAAAUAACGGCUUCCUGAAAGAAGAUGGAAAGACAAGACUUGAAAACAGAUGCCCUUAGAUAAGUUACAGCAGCAACAGGAAACUAACACAGCCUGGAAUCAUGGGACGUCCUCCUUCCUCACCCUGCGUGGACCUGGGACCGGCACUUCUGGUAGACCGCCAGAACUGCAGCUCAUUGUCACCCAGCAUGUAACUUGAGUUCAAGCAAACCCCACUCCCUUGUGUGUAUCUUCCAUUUAUACCCUUUCCAUAAGUGAAGGUUUGAAUGAGUUGGUUCAUCACUAUCCAAUAGGCAGGAUUCCUAUUGCACAGUCAUGCUAAUGGCACACACCUGGGGGUGUGGCUUCCCUCUUGUCCAAUCAGCUGUGUCCAGGGCAACAAGACUGCUGUCAAUCAACUCAAAGUGAGGAAAAUGUUACUGAGGAAAGAAUGGGUCUGGGCUAUUUGUGGGAGUCACUUGAGGACACCUCCCAGGUGACACAGAAGUUUAGAAAGCAGUCUUGAGGUUUUAAGAGAAGAAAGGCCCUUUCUGACCUCUUUACACAAACUUUAAUACGGCAGCUUGAAUUGUCAGAAGCUUUAGAGCUACAGACCUGGGGCUCCUUUCUAUGGGGUCCUUUGAUCCCGGCCCACUGUCCCCUAAUGCCAGCUCUGAUGGUAGUCCUCCGCAUGUCAAAGGGGACCAUUCCUCCUGCAUCACCCACCUUGACCUUGGACCUGCAGAUUGGUUUGAAGGAGGGCACAGUCUCACUGCUUGCCCAGAAGCAGUAUUUUUAGGAGUUUAAAGAAAAGAAAAAUCUGUUGAAGGCAAUUUCAGGUUCUAGGCUUUAUAAAAAGAGAUGCAGUGGAAAUCUGGAAAUCAGGAUGGCUUAAGAAGUCAAAGACAUUUGAAUUACUGCCUUUGGGACUGGAAGAAACCCAAACAAUUAGAGGUGUAAAGGCACAGGAUUCACGGCUUGAUAGGUGUUGAUAUAUCCCUCGAAACAGGUCUCCAGGCCCACUGGAGCCUGACCUCAUUUAAAACUGCUGGAAAAAUGCAUGUAAUAAGCUCAGUCUGAAGGCUCCCUGACAAUUCAGUUUGGAUCAAGGCUCUUUCCUAUAAGGGUUUGUUGUAUUUAUUACCAUUAUUUUUUAGUUAUUUAUGUUUUCCUGGUAUAAUAUGCUACCUUUUAAAAAACAAUUAAGAAUCUCAGACCAGACUAUCUAGAAAUAAACUGGUGCUUUUCUAUGGUGUUUGUUAAAAGGCAAGGAUUUUGUUUUUUACUCAUUAUUCCGUCUUGUUAUGGAUUUUCAAUGACUUGUCUCAAAAUUGUUCCUUCACCUUAACCUGAAUCCUCAAUUAAGUUUCCCAGUCACUACUAUUAAAUAAAAACCUUUAAAGUAUUUUAA